GAAGGAAUUGUUCGCAAUGGGCGCAAGCCUGACGACGCAACGCCGCGUGGAGGAUGAAGACCCUCGGGUUGUAAACUCCUGUCGAGCGGGAAGAACGGCCCGCCGGUUAAUACCCGGCGGGCGUGACGGUACCGCUAAAGGAAGCCCCGGCUAACUCCGUGCCAGCAGCCGCGGUAAUACGGGGGGGGCGAGCGUUGUUCGGAUUUACUGGGCGUAAAGGGCUUACAGGCGGCCGCACGUGUCGGUUGUGAAAUCCCCGGGCUCAACCUGGGAACUGCAAUCGAAACUGGGCGGCUAGAAGCCGGGAGAGGGAUGCGGAAUUCCAGGUGUAGCGGUGAAAUGCGUAGAUAUCUGGAGGAACACCCGUGGCGAAGGCGGCAUCCUGGACCGGACUUGACGCUGACGAGCGAAAGCUAGGGUAGCAAACGGG
rnacentral:rRNA from 1 species